AGCGAACGCUGGCGGCGUACUUAACACAUGCAAGUCGAACGGAGGAUCGCUACGUGAGCAAUCAUGCGGCGGUUCUAGUGGGCGUACGGGUGAGUAACACGUGGGCAACCUGCCCUGGAGCCUGGGAUACCCUCCCGAAAGGGAGGCUAAUACCGGAUACGUUCCCCGGGUCGCGAGAUCUGGGGAGGAAAGGUGGCGCAAGCUGCCGCUCUUGGAGGGCUCGCGGCCUAUCAGCUAGUUGGUGAGGUAAUGGCUCACCAAGGCUAUGACGGGUAGCUGGUCUGAGAGGACGACCAGCCACACGGGGACUGAGACACGG
rnacentral:rRNA from 1 species